rnacentral:rRNA from 1 species
CAGUCGCCACGGUAACACGGAGGGUGCAAGCGUUAAUCGGAAUUACUGGGCGUAAAGCGCACGCAGGCGGUCUGUCAAGUCAGAUGUGAAAUCCCCGGGCUUAACCUGGGAACUGCAUUUGAAACUGGCAGGCUAGAGUCUUGUAGAGGGGGGUAGAAUUCCAGGUGUAGCGGUGAAAUGCGUAGAGAUCUGGAGGAAUACCGGUGGCGAAGGCGGCCCCCUGGACAAAGACUGACGCUCAGGUGCGAAAGCGUGGGGAGCAAACAGGAUUAGAUACCCCGGUAGUCCCUGUCUCUUAUAA